ACUGGCUGCCCGGUCCCGGAUCCCCAAGGGCGACGUUUCUAUUUGGGAUCCACAACAGGUGCCUGAGAAACAAAGCCGCAGAUCGCUCCACCGCUGUGCGCAGCCCCCUGCUGAGGGGCCAGCGGCUCUCCCUGGGACCCCAGAACCUUAACACAAUUCUGAGGUGGAAGAAAUGGGGAACACCAGGCCUGGCCUCAUGGAGACCGGGGAGUCAGAACCUGAGCACAGGAACCAGCUACAGAAUUUGCAAGUGGAGAAUCCAGUGGGUGGGCCUUCUCCAAUCAGGCCUUAAGAGCAAAGACCAUGGUUUCUCAAAGAAAGAAUUUUCCUCAAGACUGCAACAUAGAGACCUUGCCUGAGUUUCCAGCCUGAUACCCUGAAGAAUUUGGACUCAAGACUGCAAUAUCAGCUCUUUCCUGAAUUUCUAGCCUGCUGGCCUGCCCUACAGAUUUUAGAUCUCCCAGCCCAAUUGCAUGAGCUAAUUCCUUAAAAUAAAUAAAUCUCUGUGUGUGUAUGUGUGCUGUAACUAAUAUAUCCUAUUGGUCUGUUUCUCUGGAGAACCCUAACU
rnacentral:lncRNA from 1 species